GACGAACGCUGGCGGCGUGCUUAACACAUGCAAGUCGAACGGAAAGGCCCUGCUUUUGUGGGGUGCUCGAGUGGCGAACGGGUGAGUAACACGUGAGUAACCUGCCCUUGACUUUGGGAUAACUUCAGGAAACUGGGGCUAAUACCGGAUAGGAGCUCCUGCUGCAUGGUGGGGGUUGGAAAGUUUUGGCGGUUGGGGAUGGACUCGCGGCUUAUCAGCUUGUUGGUGGGGUAGUGGCUUACCAAGGCUUUGACGGGUAGCCGGCCUGAGAGGGUGACCGGCCACAUUGGGACUGAGAUACGGCCCAGACUCCUACGGGAGGCAGCAGUGGGGAAUAUUGCACAAUGGGCGGAAGCCUGAUGCAGCAACGCCGCGUGCGGGAUGACGGCCUUCGGGUUGUAAACCGCUUUCGCCUGUGACGAAGCGUGAGUGACGGUAAUGGGUAAAGAAGCACCGGCUAACUACGUGCCAGCAGCCGCGGUGAUACGUAGGGUGCGAGCGUUGUCCGGAUUUAUUGGGCGUAAAGGGCUCGUAGGUGGUUGAUCGCGUCGAAAGUGUAAUCUUGGGGCUUAACCCUGAGCGUGCUUUCGAUACGGGUUGACUUGAGGAAGGUAGGGGAGAAUGGAAUUCCUGGUGGAGCGGUGGAAUGCGCAGAUAUCAGGAGGAACACCAGUGGCGAAGGCGGUUCUCUGGGCCUUUCCUGACGCUGAGGAGCGAAAGCGUGGGGAGCGAACAGGCUUAGAUACCCUGGUAGUCCACGCUGUAAACUGUGGGUACUAGGUGUGGGGUCCAUUCCACGGGUUCCGUGCCGUAGCUAACGCUUUAAGUACCCCGCCUGGGGAGUACGGCCGCAAGGCUAAAACUCAAAGGAAUUGACGGGGCCCCGCACAAGCGGCGGAGCAUGCGGAUUAAUUCGAUGCAACGCGUAGAACCUUACCUGGGUUUGACAUGGAUCGGGAGUGCUCAGAGAUGGGUGUGCCUCUUUUGGGGUCGGUUCACAGGUGGUGCAUGGCUGUCGUCAGCUCGUGUCGUGAGAUGUUGGGUUAAGUCCCGCAACGAGCGCAACCCUUGUUCACUGUUGCCAGCACGUUAUGGUGGGGACUCAGUGGAGACCGCCGGGGUCAACUCGGAGGAGGGUGGGGAUGACGUCAAGUCAUCAUGCCCCUUAUGUCCAGGGCUUCACGCAUGCUACAAUGGCUGGUACAGAGAGUGGCGAGCCUGUGAGGGUGAGCGAAUCUCGGAAAGCCGGUCUCAGUUCGGAUUGGGGUCUGCAACUCGACCUCAUGAAGUCGGAGUCGCUAGUAAUCGCAGAUCAGCAACGCUGCGGUGAAAACGUUCCCGGG
rnacentral:rRNA from 1 species